rnacentral:rRNA from 1 species
GGGCGCAGCCUGAUGCGCACGCCGCGUGGGGGAUGAAGGCCUUCGGGUUGUAAACCCCUUUUAGCAGGGAAGAAGCGAAAGUGACGGUACCUGCAGAAAAAGCGCCGGCUAACUACGUGCCAGCAGCCGCGGUAAUACGUAGGGCGCAAGCGUUGUCCGGAAUUAUUGGGCGUAAAGAGCUCGUAGGCGGUUUGUCGCGUCUGCUGUGAAAGUCCGAGGCUCAACCUCGGAUCUGCAGUGGGUACGGGCAGACUAGAGUAUGGUAGGGGAGACUGGAAUUCCUGGUGUAGCGGUGGAAUGCGCAGAUAUCAGGAGGAACACCAAUGGCGAAGGCAGGUCUCUGGGCCAUAACUGACGCUGAGGAGCGAAAGCGUGGGGAGCGAACAGGAUUAGAUACCCUGGUAGUCCACGCCGUAAACGGUGGGCACUAGAUGUGGGGCUCUUUCCAUGAGUUCCGCGUCGCAGCUAACGCAUUAAGUGCCCCGCCUGGGGAGUACGGCCGCAAGGCUAAAACUCA